rnacentral:rRNA from 1 species
AUGCCAAGCAAGAAGUGUAAUCACAAAAAACGGAUCUGUGUACCAACUGAAUCACAGCCACAUGUUCCUAUGAAAUGUGAGAUGUCCAAAAACUCACUGUUGGCACAAUGUAGCAUCUCCAGUCAAGGCUUGUGGCUACAAGAGACAUGGCAUCAGGCACAAGAAAAUAAAUUAGAAAGCAUUCCAAGUCCGUCAGAGACCAGAUGGACACUUACAGCGGCAGAGAAGCAGCUGCUGUUUACAGUGUCAUACGGCACUUCCUGGUCUAGAGAUCUUCACCAAGACGAUACAAAAUCAGACAGAAAAAUACUGAAAACAACUCCAUGA